rnacentral:rRNA from 1 species
AUUGAACGCUGGCGGCAGGCCUAACACAUGCAAGUCGAGCGAGCGGCGGACGGGUGAGUAAUGUCUGGGAAACUGCCUGAUGGAGGGGGAUAACUACUGGAAACGGUAGCUAAUACCGCAUACCAUCAGAUGUGCCCAGAUGGGAUGAGCUAGUAGGUGGGGUAACGGCUCACCUAGGCGACGGACCCUAGCUGGUCUGAGAGGAUGACCAGCCACACUGGAACUGAGACACGGUCCAGACUCCUACGGGAGGCAGCAGAAGGGAAUAGUGCACAAAGGGCGCAAGCCUGAUGCAGCCAUGCCGCGUGUGUGAAGAAGGCCUUCGGGGUGUAAAGCACUUUCAGCGGGGAGGCGUUACCCGCAUAAGAAGCACCGGCUAACUCCGUGCCAGCAGCCGCGGUAAUUC